rnacentral:rRNA from 1 species
AUUGAACGCUGGCGGCAGGCCUAACACAUGCAAGUCGAACGGUAGCACAGAGGAGCUUGCUCCUUGGGUGACGAGUGGCGGACGGGUGAGUAAUGUCUGGGAAACUGCCCGAUGGAGGGGGAUAACUACUGGAAACGGUAGCUAAUACCGCAUAACGUCGCAAGACCAAAGAGGGGGACCUUCGGGCCUCUUGCCAUCGGAUGUGCCCAGAUGGGAUUAGCUAGUAGGUGGGGUAACGGCUCACCUAGGCGACGAUCCCUAGCUGGUCUGAGAGGAUGACCAGCCACACUGGAACUGAGACACGGUCCAGACUCCUACGGGAGUCAGCAGUGGGGAAUAUUGCACAAUGGGCGCAAGCCUGAUGCAGCCAUGCCGCGUGUAUGAAGAAGGCCUUCGGGUUGUAAAGUACUUUCAGCGGGGAGGAAGGGGUUAAGGUUAAUAACCUUAGCCAUUGACGUUACCCGCAGAAGAAGCACCGGCUAACUCCGUGCCAGCAGCCGCCGUAAGAC